GUGGGGAAUAUUGGACAAUGGGCGAAAGCCUGAUCCAGCCAUGCCGCGUGUGUGAAGAAGGUCUUCGGAUUGUAAAGCACUUUAAGUUGGGAGGAAGGGCAGUAAGUUAAUACCUUGCUGUUUUGACGUUACCGACAGAAUAAGCACCGGCUAACUUCGUACCAGCAGCCGCGGUAAUACGAAGGGUGCAAGCGUUAAUCGGAAUUACUGGGCGUAAAGCGCGCGUAGGUGGUUUUGUAAGUUGGAGGUGAAAUCCCCGGGCUCAACCUGGGAACUGCCUCCAAAACUGCAUGACUAGAGUACGGUAGAGGGUAGUGGAAUUUCCUGUGUAGCGGUGAAAUGCGUAGAUAUAGGAAGGAACACCAGUGGCGAAGGCGACUACCUGGACUGAUACUGACACUGAGGUGCGAAAGCGUGGGGAGCAAACAGGAUUAGAAACCCGUGUAGUCC
rnacentral:rRNA from 1 species